UGUAUUCUUAUUUUUUCUUAUUAUUGUUUUAAUUAAUUUAUAUUUAGAAAAUGACUUUGUAACGACACUUGAAAAGAACCGAAAGAGAAGGUCGAAACGUCGUGUCCACACCCAUUUGUAUUGCCAGCCUUGGUCAUUAAUAAAGGAUUUUUUUGGAUUAAUGAGUUCUUUAAGUUGUCAUUCUAAGAGACAUCUUUGAAACGAGCUCUUUAUGUUGUCUAUUUGUAGAAAUGUCUAAUAAGAGAACUCGCAAUGUUAUCCUUAGAAAGAAAUAUAAAAGAUGUCAUGGAAACGAGAUCAUAAUGUGUUCUCAGUAUAGUCAAUAACCUCGGUAUAUUAUAGCUAGAUUUGAUAACCUGCAAAACUGUUAUUGUGAAUGUUAGAAUGUCUUUCCGCAAAGAUUUUAAAAGCCUGUCAGCAAGUCAAAAAAAACAGAAGACUCUGUAAAGUGAAUUACAUAAUUGCAUGCAACUCAAAGUGAAAAUAUUGAAGUUGCUCAAAGUGAAAAUAUUGAAAAUAACCUAUGUGCAAGCACAUCCAGAAACACAAAUCAGACUCGGCAAGAAAAAUAUAAUGUGUGUUCCAAUGUUAUUGUUUCUGAUAUGGAAUCAUCAGAGUUGGAUAGUGAUAAUGGAGAAAAUUGUGAUGAACAAUCAUCGCUAUAAAGGAUAUAAAUAUUUCAUCACAUGCUAUUCAGACUGUGAUAAAAAAUUGGUUGCAACACGCUGGUGACAGAAUAAAUCAAGCUGCAAAACGGCAUGAGAAAGAAAAAUAUGUUCUAAAACUCAUUAUGAACGUUUAAAAAAUAUUUUCACAGUUCUCUAUUGCAGUAAAUACUAUAAUAUGUUUGUAAUGUAAAUUGCAAAAGUUUUCGUUUCAGAAAAAGCAAAAGUUCGUUUUUCUCAUAUUACAAUAUACUCAGUUGUUUUUCGUAUAGAGAACUAAACCUUUAUAUUCAGACUGUGAGAACAUAGUGCAAAAAAGAAACCAAAUAACUUUUUGAUUCUAAACUGUUGUUAUAUUUUAAUGUUAUUGCGCUAUAUAUGAUACAUUCUUUUUAUACACAAUAUUAAUACGUACAUUAGAAACAUAAGUUUCUUUCAGAUAUAUUGCAUAAGUGUUUUUUAUUUAAGAAAAAAUAAAUAAUUAUACGUUAUAUCCUA